ensembl:lncRNA
GCGGUGCGAAGCCCCCGGGGCAGCUCAGCGCGGCUCCCGCUGCUGCCAUCGCCCUCAGCCUGGCUGCGAAGGGCAGCCCGGGCCGCCGGCGGGUCCCGCUUCUCCCUCCCAGAGCUAUCGAUAGUUGUAAGCGUUUUUGAAAUCACCGCAAACAUCUGGAAGGUAUGAGUGUACCGGAUUUGUUUUCAGCCGCAAAGCAGACCCCAAUCCCAAACCCUCCAAUUCUGCUUCAUCCACGCGGUCUUUGAUACACCCAUGGGACAGGAGACAGAGUUUACUGUGGUAGGGGUUUAUCACUUCCUCAGAGGAUUCAUGGGCAUUCCAAAGCUUCCCCAAACCAUGCUACCAGAAGAAAUGACCCAGCUAAAAAAAACUGGGUUGGGAUUUAGAAGUUUGCCUCUGAUUUCUGAUACACUCUUCUUCUUGCAUUCAGCUCUGGGGCCCCCAACACAGAAAGGACAUGGAGCUGCUGGAGGAGGUCCAGAGGAGGGCCGCAAAGAUGAUCAGAGAGCUGUAGCACAUCCCUAUGGGGACGUGCUGAGGGAGCUGGGGCUCUUCAGCCUGCAGAAGAGAAGGCUCCAAGAAGGCCUUACAGCGGCCUUCCAGUACCUGAAGGGGGCCUGCAGGAAAGCUGGGGAGGAACUUUUUAUAAGGACAUGUAGCGAAAGGAUUAGGGGAAAGAGUUUUAUACCUGAAGAAGGUAGGUUUAGACUAGAUAUCAGGAAGAAAUUCUUUACUGUGAGCGGUAAGACACUGGAACAAGUUGCCCAGUGAGGCUGUGAAAGCCCCCUCCCUGGAAGCACUCAAGGCCAGGCUGAAUGGGGCUUUGAGCAAUCUAGUCUAGAGGGAGGUGUCCCUGCCUGUAUCAGGGGGUUAGAACCAGAUGAUGUUAAAGGUCUCUUCCAACCCAAACCAUUCUGUGAUUCUUGUUUGACUAUGGGCUGGGCCAUGACACGUUAAAACAGUGCAAGCUCGUGUCACCAUUAUCCUCAUGUAAAUCAUUUUGACCACCAAUGAAAACAAACAAACAAAAAACCAACAAAACCCUCAAACUCAACUACACGUGGAAGAAAUCUUAAGACAGUUCCUAGUUUCUAAAUAUUUUAGGACUGAAAUGAUGAUUGGAAGCAACUGGUAUCAUAAUGAAAAAAGUAAGAGCAAAUUUGGCACACAUUCUGAUGCUCAAACAGGUGUGCAAACCAAAAGGAAGAAGAAAAAAAUGGCAGUUUCCCCUAGUCAGAUGUUGUAUUCACCUACAAAAAGGAUAACAUGGGGACUAGACAAAAUUUUAUGGAAAAUCUGCAGGUAAUAAAAGUAAAGAAUCAUAAGAAUGCUCAAGUGCUAGGAAAGUACCAUGGGAAAGGUAAAACACAGGCUUAAUGACUACACAGGGAGAAGAAACAGAUCAAUUAUAAAGGAAAGGAAGUUCUGAGCUGAUACAGCUCAUUUUCUGGAAACAAUGAGAGCUUUUUACUUUGCCAGAUGAAUUAGUAAAUGAAUACAGAAUAGCAAAGUUUCCCAGGCCUUGCGGGAAGAAUUAGUGGCACUGGCUGGUACUGACAUUUGCUAAAAACUGGUUGGGGAUUCUGCUAGAAAUGCAUGUAAUCACUUUCUAUUUUCAAGAGAAAAUUUUCAAGUGAAAUAAAUGGAAUUCAUAGAUG